GGGCAGGCUGCGCAUCACUCUUAAACCCACAAACUGGUGGAUUUCCUGCACCAGCAUUUCAGCACACGUUGGUAGCUCUUCUGCACUGUUUCGCAUACAUAAAUAGAGCGCAUCAAAGUAUUAUUUCUACACGGUGAUUGCUUGGCCUCUGACUGCCACUUGUGCAAACUGUUCUCAUUUUAGAAAGAAAAGAGGCUUUCUUCGAUCGCAGAACUCCAUUCAAUAUCAUUUCCCUGCAAUUUCAGCACGUGCAGGGGGUUACACGAAAGGCAAGGCUUCCUCACAGCUAUUACAUUCAACUGUUCCAACUACAGGAUUUGAUAAUGUUACGAAAAUGGUGCUUAUGCUUUGGGAAGUGCUCUGACUGCAGGAUGUCCGCUCUUCGGGACGAAGCAGCUCACUGAUGCAUUGCAAACACACUCACGCCUGGUUUGCUUUAGUUGAACCGAGAUGAAUGAGAGUCAUAACAGUAGUGUAACCAUGAAGCAGGUCAUCCUUUACAUCAUUACAUUCUCUUAAUACGAAAUUCCCAGUAACUAUCCGAUCACAUCCUAUUUCCCCGUGUCCGAAAAAGCCAAAUAGGGGAACACUUGGAAAAAACUUCCUAAAGGCAUCUGCUUCCAUAUUCCGUUUGGUUUUAUAGUGCCGAUAUCCUCGGCCAACACACGCGAACAUGAAGCCAAUGGUGUUACACUCGGGGAUGUUUGCUGCUUUCAGACGCUGCAUGGCGGCUUCUGCUGUCCUCUCAUCAGCGACGUCCUGGUCUAACAAAACCGUGGCACUCUGGAUCUGGGGCCCGCUGAAAGCCAGCCCAACCACCCCACAGGCAUCGCUGGGCUGGGCGUUAUUAUUCUCAGAGAUCAGCGAUGUAAAGCUCUCCACUUGUCCCCCAGCUAGGAUGAUACUUUUUUCAUUCAAAGGAUUGACUAUUUGAUGAAGAAAACGAGUAGCUCCAGACUUCCAGGAGUUGUAGCCGAACAGAAGAACCACACGAAGAUCUGGAUUAUUCUUCAGGCCUGCUUCAGCAAAUUUGUUUUCGUCAAUGACCCUAUUCUUUACUUCUUUAGGAAAAUGGAAGGUUUGGAUUUUAACUCCAUCAAUUUUGGGAAACAAAAGAGCAAACCCAGCUUCACCAUCUUCAAUUUCUUGAGGUUGGUUGCUGCUUGAACCCAUAGGGGUAACUACGAUCCCCGGGGUGAGCAGUCCAAGGACCUGACAUCGCUUUGGCAACAGUUUCUCAAUCGCAAUGGCUGUUUCUUUACUGUUUCUUUUUCUGGCUUUCUUGUGCUCGUGGCACUCCUCGUGCCCGCUGAACGUCUCCGCGUCGGCGAUGUAGAGCACGGUCUGGGGCAGCACGUGCACCCUCUCGAGCUCUCGGGCCAAGGCCUGCACCAGCGUGUGUCCGCCAGGCGGGCCGGGUUCCAGUGCCGACACCCAAGCGAGGCGCUGCCGCGUGCGCAGGAUCCGCCGCGCGCACUCCCUCCACAGCCGGCACACGCAGGCGGCGCGCAGCAGCGCUUUAGUGGGCAGGAAGCCGAGCACGCGCUCCACCACCUCGGCCAGGUUGCCGAGGACGAGGCCGCCCUUCCCCGGCGCCUCCAUGGCCGCGGAGCCGCGCCCUUCCCCGCCGCCUGACGCGACGCCGACACCUCCCGCCGCCGACGCGCUUCCGGUUCCGGCGGCGGCACUUCCGCCCGCAUCCCUUCCGGCCCCGCCCCGGAAGCGGCACGGCACAGCGGUUCUCAAAACGGCCUUUAUUCGUCAACUUGAUGCAAGUUUACAAUUCGCGGCGCGGCGCGCUCGCCGGCCAAGAAGGGGGGAAGCGGCGUCGGCCUCGGGCCCGGGGCGGCGGCUGCAGGCGCAGCCCGGCCGCGAGGGCGCAGCCGGAGGGGCUCGGCGAGGCGGGACGCACCCUCGGCCCCGGGAUCGCCACGGGAGGCGCCGCCCGGCCCGGCCACGGCGCGCGUCCGGUCCUUCCGCUGCGGCGCUGCUCCACGUCGGGGUGCCGGAGCGGAGCUUCUGCGGCAAAGAAUUCGUUCCCGGACUUCCGCCUCGCCUGGUGCCACUCACUCGCUUUAUCAGUUCGUUAGUUUACAAAUGAUUGCAACAACCCGUUAAUAAAAUGGAACGCCUACAAAGGUUUUUUAGUAAAUAACUUCGAGCCUCGGCCCGCGGCCGUGCGGCUGCAGCAGAGGGAGCCGCCCGCAGCAGCGGAGCACGGCCGGAGCUGAGCGGCUGCGGCUGCAGCGGCACCGCCUGCACUGCUUAAAGGAGAGAAGGAGGGCAAAACCGUCUGACCAUGAGCAUCUCUUCCAAGAAAUAGUUCGUAUUCUCAUCCAGCCAUGAAAAUGUUUAAUGACUUAACAUACAUGUGCUUUUCCUAUAUCAUUAAUUUGGAAAUACUACAAACGCUGUCAUUUUAGACCAGAAAAACUACUGUGAUUUGCAAGGUCUGACAUUUCCUAUAACAGUAUUAAACAACAUAUUAAACCUCCUGACUUUAAAUGAAACGACACAACUCAAGUCUCGGCGCUCUGCAUCCUGCAAAAGGUAAGAAAUGCGCAGAAGAAGUGCGUGACCAACUCCUGCUGAACGCCCCCGGGGAACGCAGCAGCCCAGUGCAGCAUUACACUUCCAACUUAAAAAAGGGAGAAGGGAAGGAGUGGCCCAAAUAUGCUUAAUCCAUGAAGAACAAAUACAGCAAAGGCCCAGACUGCUCAGUUCAAGAUGCCUAAGAAGAGCGGAAUGGUAAGGCUGCAACUUAUACUUGACGUGUCAGUUGACAGAUUAUCCACUAACUUAUCUAAUAGCUAAAGUCUUCAGUACGGCUGUUAUAGGGGCACUCAUAGCUCGAGUCUCUGUGUUGGAAAACAUUAAAAAGAGCUCUUUUUGUUGGCAUUGGUCCAGGUAUACAACAGUCCUCAGUAUUAACCGUCUUCUUUUGGAGGAGUGUACCAGCCUAUGGAGAACAGAGAAACGCAUUAGGCACUGCCCUGGCUCCGCUCAGAGGAGCUUACCAGCUGCCUUCUGAAUGGGUGGCAGAAAUGUCAGGUGAGUAACUCUGGCUCCUGAUAGCAUUUGGCAUGUUGAAUCAUAUCGGAUCAAGUGUACGUGGCCUUUUCUGACCACCUCCAGAUCUCCAAUCUCAAGUCUCCCAGCCACUAUGGUAAAAAUUCCUCUCAGUUUUAGUACAGUGAGUAGAGGCCCUACAUAUGUCGUCCCAGAGAACUGGUAGCAGCAGUAAGUUAACAAAGAUGCCUUUUGCAGCAGCAAUAAAUGCUGUGAAUGUUUUGUGUACAGCUCCUGUUGCAGCAGCAAACACUGUAGUCAUGGCCAGCAUGUGGCUAGAAGUCAAUGGCCAUGGUGGCUUUUGUUGCAAACUAAAAAAGCAAGAGACUCAGUUAAUGGCAAGACCAACAUGUCAAGAAAUUGGAAAGCAUUUUAAAAUCUUCCUCUGUGACCUUCUUCCUAACAGUCCAGAAGGCAUUAGGUUUGUUUUAGAAGUGGGAAAACCGAGGUGCUCAUCACACCAGAAUAUGCUCGCGUCACGUUCACAGCAACAGGAGUUCCCAAAGGACGCUGUGCAUCUCUGAAGUCAGAACUGGGACUAAUUCCCUCAUCAGGAGAGCAGGACACCAACUCUGUUGAUUGCUUUUGUACGGCAUAUAACUCACUCAAACUAUCUAAAGCCUCAGGUCAUUUCUGGCCUUCUCAUCCUGCCACAACAAAUGCAACUAUACCUCAAGCAUGUUAAUAUUUGCUUUAAGCAGCCACGAGAACAUUAACUAGCUUUAAAUAGAAGAAAAAAAUCCAUCUCCCAUUCCCCAGGCAGUGCACCUCAGUUGGGCUUUUUCUAUCUUUUGAAGAAAUGGAAAGACAGACCAGCAACCAUCUUCUUUAAUGGCUACUAUUUCUCAGCCCAUGCCACACAGAACCAAAGAGGCAGACAACCUUCCAUCCAGCACUUCAAUAACACAUAGACAUUCCAACAGCUACAGCAACAACAAAGCUACUAGGUCUACUAGUUGAAAAGGAAGCUCAACUACUUUUUGAAAAGCAAUAAGAACAUCAGGACAUCAUUACUUCCAUGUAAGCUGGAGAAGUUGCAAAGAUGGUCAGUCAAGUUAUUCUAAUUAGAAAGACUACAGCGCUUAAAGAUGAGAAGCAGAAACACCAUCUCCAGCCUUCCCAACCCAACCUAUGGCAUUCCAGCACUUCAAGUUUCAUUGCUGCCAAAUAUCAAAAUCCUAGGAUGCUCUGCAUACAAGAACAAAAAUGCAAGGCAUACAUACCAUUUUUCUCAUGUAUUUGUACUAGUGACUUAUAGGACUGCUGUGCUCUUGCUAGGUUAUAUUGAUUCUGAAAGGAAAAAAAUCCAAACAACUCUUGAAUCAGCACUUAAAACACCAGCAAGCGAGUCAUAAUUUCAUUGACAUAUUUACACCUCUUCUGAAAACAGCAUUUAGAACUUCAAAACAAGUUGCAGUCUGUUAACAACAUGCACACUUGAACUGAAUUAUGAUUUAGAUCAGUUCUGAGAGGCUCAAGUUUAAGAGUAUUUGCAAGGCAGUAUUUUUCAUUCUGUCAGGAAAACUGGCGGGUACUUAGUCCAGCCAAGGAGAACUUCUUAACAUCAGCAUAUGCAAACCUGGCAGCAAGGCUAUCCGUAGCCCUUCUCAGAGCCAGGAUUCCCAAAUCUUUCUGAUUUCCAAUUCUGAAUUCACCCUUCGCUCCCCCAGGUACAUGUCUGCUUAAAUACCCUGCCCAUCCAAAGCCUGGUCUCCUCAAACAUUUAUCUUUCUUUAAAAUCAUAGUUAACAGCCAAGAACAUAAUCACACCUGCACCAGACGUAUGUGACCGAGACAAAUCAAAAUGCAAAUAUAUUUGCAAUGACAAUUCUGUCAUGAAGCAUCUCCUACACAAGUCAGCAAAGGCAUGAAGAAGCUUAACAACAAUCUGUGUAAUUGAUAUACGCAGUGCAUUUACCUUAUUGGCUCCAAACUGAACUCUGGCUUUUCCUUUGACUAAAGUGGCAUUGAUCUGCAUGAUGACUGAUUCUAUUGAAUAGGCACUGCUCCAGCCCUGCAGGAGGAAGAAAAUAUAUGACAUAUACUUGCUUCUCGUGCUCAUUUUGCAAAUCUGCUUUGGAAUGCACGUUUUGUAGGGAAAUUAUUCCACAUAGGGAAUUAAAGCUACUACUGUCAAGUGCCUUUCUACUGAAAAAGGGCACACUUCACUGUUAUUUGUGGCACUUCUGUACUGAGAGGAAGCGUUGGUAUUCACCUGUUUGGUAAGAAGUUCCAUGCAUAAUGCACCUCCACCUAGGACAUAUCUAGAAAUAAAUGUGAGAAGAAGAUUAUAUAUAUAUAUAUAUAUUUCAUAUAUAAGAUAUGAAGCCAUUCACAGCACUUCAAGUUCUCCCAGGCCAAUUUGAUUUUAUUUUUUCAAGUACAACUGAGAUGCCCUUCAGCCAGUAAUAUACUAUGGCAACUAGUUAGCCAUAGCAUAGGGAAGAUCAAUUAGUGCAGUGAGACAAAAGAAACUGCUUUCCUUGGCCACAUACACAGUUAAAAUCAGCCAUGCAGCUAUUCUGCACAAUUGCUUACAUAGUAGCCAGACCGUGGAAGAGGAAUGCUGUUUUUUGUCACUACACUAUCGAUGUGCUGAUACAGUUAUAAAAAUAAUCCAAACCACUUCCGUUAGGGAUAUUGACACAAUCUCAAACAAUGUAAGUGCAACUAUUAACUAAGAUUUAGUUGCAAACGAGUUAAAGCUAAUCUUCACUUGCUCUUUUUCUCUAAAAUUAAAAAAAAAUUAAAUUCAAUUUCAAUAACACUUCAUCAUAAUCUGUGGUUAUAGAAUUCAGCAGUCAGCACAGCAUGCCUGGCUGUAACAAAACCUGACUGAGGGAGCUGAACUGACCACUCCUAAAAGGUGGUCUCUGCUAUGAUCAGUGCAUUUAAACGACGUCCAUUUAUACGUAAUUUAUAAGGAAAUAAAAAGAGCAAUUAAAACCAAAUCACAAUCAGCACCAGCUGUCAGAGGCUGCAUUGCAGGAGACACUGCACACAACAUUUCAACCAAGGUUUGGAUAACUUGAAGCAUAGCGCCAAUUAAAUUUAAUACUUUCAGAUUAGCAUUUGAGGAGUUUUUAGACAUAAGUUAUAGCGGUGUUACCAACACAUACAAGAAAGACCCCUUCAAAGCAACAACUCAAAACACACUGCUAUGUGGAACAACAGGAGAAGUAAGAUCAUGUUAGAAGUUUCAGAGAUCAGCUCUCAAGUAUUAGGGCUGAUGGAGACUUCCAAAGUUGGACCCAACUUAAGCAAUUCUAAGCUUAAAAUUCAAAUUAAGGAACUGCAUCAAGCUGGAAAAAGCACUCCGCUGUCUGCCCACUGUUAAUUUAUGCUACUUGAGAAGCACAUCAUCUUAUCACACUGAGCCUUUCACCAAACUCAAGGUCUAUAGGAGCUCAUGACUGAUAUUUUGGGAAAAUAAUUCCAAGUCCACCUGCUGGUCUCAAAACAUUCCCUGCAAACCCAGACAACCAAUCUCAAGUUAUAACAUUUUACCACAAAGUAAGAUUUCUAUAAAGCAACUCAAGCUUACCCUCCUGUGAGCACAGGAGAUACUACUCGCACAAAGGGAGGAUCAAACGGGAAGUUAUCCUGAAAUACAUAAACAAAGAACAGUUUAAGAACUAUACUGUGAUGCUGUUCUCCUAACCAGGAGCUAUUUCUGUAGCCUUAUUUGGCAAAUUAGAUUUAAAGCAGUAACAUUUUUCAGUUCUGUAAAAACCACUGUGCCACAGUGCUGGCCCACAAGCAGCCUUUGGGAAGUUUUAGUGCCACACUGAAAACCACAUUUUUUUUUUUCCUCCUUAAAUGUUACACUUCAAUCUUCACCCAGGUGACAGCCAAGGGUACCUUGUUAGUCAGUUUCUACAGUUGGCUACAAAUUUAACCCCUGCAUUUCUUCCCAUAGACACAUACCUUAAAAGAGAAGUUGAGUAAAAUGUAUUCUACACCUUCUUUUUCUUUUAAGACCUGAAGAUCACUAUGCAGAGGGCUGUCAGGAUCAACCCUAUAAGAGAGGCAGGGUGAAAUCCUGGAUUAAGUUAGUAUUUUCACUACCUGUAAAUAGCAAUCACUCUUAGCUCCUUCAUGUAUUUAUAGAUUACAAAUGGUAAUUUGAGUUAAACACAAGAAAAUGUUUGCUCCUUUGAGAAAGAAAACACUUUGCCCCGAGAUCUCCAUGAAAGCUUGUUGCAAUGAACUACGAUCCCACCACUAUCAAAUGUUAUUUCAACAUGGAUAGCAAAUAAAUAAGCCGUUUAUUUGAAAAUCAGUCAUUUUAACUCCCUUCAGCUCACUGGAAAUCUAUGUCCCAAGAGAAGAAAGUAUGUUAAGGGAAAGGCUGUAGUGAUCUGUUUUCAGCACAGUUAGCGAACCCUUCAUGAGUACGUGACUGCAGCUCUAUAUCACAUGUUAAACGUGAUCUGCAUCUGCCAAAGCACUGAAGUCAGCAGUAUCUGCUCUCAGCAGAAUUUCAUCACUUGUUGCAAAAUACUGGUGACAAGCACGCUGGGUGUUAAUUCAGACACUACUGGGUUUAUCCAACGCAAGCACUGCCACCCCAGAAGUUUUUAAAGAAACUAGUCAAAAGAAGACUGUAAACAAGACAACAGAUGAUGUUAAGGGGACUACAAGAGUCCAAUCCUCUACUACACGUGAAGCCACAAACUGGAGAACCCAUUUCAGAGUUACCCGAGCCCUACGUCCCCAUCUCACAAAUCAAAAGCUAUUUCAGAGAAAAAAAAUAUAAAUCUUUCAGUGCUGAGCAACCCAUCAAUUCCAGCCAUAACCAGCACCAGGCCAGUUCAGAAUUACUUGUUCUAGUAACAAUAAUGUUCUGUCUGCAAAAGGGUUAAUCUCUGUGACAUUUACACCCUCAACUGGUCUGCACACACAGGUCAUUUGUUUACAGACACUUUCUGCUGGAACAAAUAAACACAAUUCUUUGUCUUUGCAGAAUGGUUUGUCUUGGAAGAGAGAGCCCUUGAAGUCCACCCAGUUCCGCCCCCAGCUAUAUGGGCAGGGACAGCUCCCACUACUACCAGGUUGAGCAAGACCUUCAGCACCUCCAGGGAUGGGACACCUAAAGCUUUCCUGCGCAGCCUGUGCCAGUGCCUCAUCUCCUUCUGAGUAAAGAAUCCCUUCUCCAUGUCUAAUGUGCAUCCCCUCUCUUUCAGUUUAAAGCCAUUACCCAUUGCCCCGGAUCUCUUUUCUUAGCCAUUCUGGAAGUCAUCUCUUGCAUGCAUUCUAUUGCUUCUCCCUCCUCAGAAAACCAAACCUGCUCACAGUACUCAAAAAGAAAUUUCAUGCACUGCACAAUUAUUUGGCUGUCUAAGCAGUCAAUCACUAAGGCAUUCUGUAACAAGGGAAUGAUUACUCUUCCUGCUAGUUUCAGCUUCAGAAUGUUCAUAUGCUUCUGAUGACACUAAGAUGGAAAUACAACUCAGCAGCUGGUGACAAAGCUGUAGAGAUUUUACCACCAGGACAAGGCAACAAUUCCUAAAGGCACAUUAGCUAUUGUGCUGAUAAAACUUAAGUCUUUGUAUCUGUGCAUCACGAUGUAGCUGAACUGAAGGAAUUUUUCCCAACUCUUCACCUUUCACAGUCACCCAAUCUAGUUGCAUAGGCUCUUCCUUCCUACAGGUUACCUCGCAGGAUAAUGGCAGAUAAUCCUGUUACUGGGACUAAUUUCAGUAUAAUGCCUUUAGAAUUAAAGUAUUACACUUUGGACAUAGCAAUACAUGAGCUGUCAUUUUCUUCUAAAUUGGUGUGGAGAUCAUCCAGACCCAGUACAAACAAGUGAAAAGUAGCACAUUAGAAAAAACAAUCAUGUUGUAAGUCAUCAUUAUGUUAUGCCUCAAGAUUUCAGUCCUAUGUGCCUGCUAAACUAACCCCACUAGAACAGUUCUGUUCCUUCUUAUGUCUUAAAGGAAACGAGAACCUGCAUUUUAUUGAAAUUAAAAACAAACAAGUCCACCCAGACAAAACUUCUGGACAACUCAUUUCAUCAUUUGAGGUUUCAUAUUUUGGAGUAGCAUUGGAAGGAAGGUGAAACAGUAAUAAAAGUUAUGGUAAUACGCAGAGACUUGGCAGUGCAAGGAGUGUCUGGGUUUUUGGUUUUUUUUUUUUUUCAUUUUUAUUUGUUAUCAACUUAAUUACUAUAGUUCAAUAUCUGCAUGCAUCUCCAUCUAGCCAAGUUGUAGCCACACUAUUUUGUAGGUUCUGACUAGAGUUUCUCAUUCAAAACCAGAUUUUUUGCAGCAAUUUUAGUAGAUUCUUCAGAAAAAUGAAAGAAGUUUAAGAACUUACUUUAGAAGCUUAACAUGCCAUUCAUACAAGCUGUCAUUUACCAGUUCCACUGAAUAUAUCCCUGUUUUAUAGCUCUGUGAUCUAUAUAUAUCCCUGAGUUCCUUCAUAAGUCGAUCUGAAGCCUGAACUGACCCAGAGACUGCACCAUUUAAGUGAUCUUGCCUUUGAUUUUUUCUGAUUUUUUCUAAGAUUGCAAGGUUCUCUUUUUCAAUGCCUUCAUCCUCGGAUUUCUUCCCGUCAACUGGUUCCUCCUCCUUCAUAUCAUAGUGAUCCAGAUCUUCAAUGUCUUCACCCAUAUCUUCCUCCUCCUCCUCCUCCGAUGUAACUUCUUCCGUUGUUCCAUUCUGUCCAGCUGGUAAUGGCUGAUCUAACAUUUCAACAUCUGGAUGCUGAGGAAGAUUAUACAAUCUGCAGAGGUCACAUAUUAAUCGCUUCAGUUGCUGGAGAAGCAGUGUAUUGCUCUUCUUAAUGUCUUCUAAACGCUCCAAGACUGAAGUCAGGUUUGGGUCAUCUGAUUCUACAAACCAUAUUGGUGAUGAAGAGGGGUAAGAUUCCGUGAUGUUGCAGUGGAUGGUGAGCGGCGGCGGCGGCGGAGGGCCGGAGCCCGGCGGCGGCGGCAGGAGCACGAACUGGCAGUGCAGCUCGUCCAGCUUCCAGGAGACGAUGCGGAAGCGCUCGUGGUCCUUGUCGAAGAUGGACUCGAGGAACUUCAGCUCGGCCUUGAGCCCUGACACCGACAUCCUGGCCUCAUCUCCGGGCCCGGGCCUGCGCCGCCUCGCCUCGGCCCGGCCCUGGCCCCGGCCGCGCCUGCGGGGCGGAAGAUGGCGGAGGGCGGGGGCCCGGGGCAGCCCCAGCGGCGGGGGACGGCGAGCGCGGCGGGGGCCCUUCGUACGGCCUCCCGCACCCUGCGCUCUCUCGAAAGGGCGACGGCGCGGCUCGCUCCCCUUCCCGUUCCCCCUUCCCUUUCCUCGCGGCGGGCUGGGCCAGGCCGGGCCCGCCCCGCCCCGCCCUCCCCGCGCUAGGCCGGCCCCGCGGCCCGGGACGCACGCAGCGGGGCUGGCCGGGCCCGUCCCCGCUCCGCCCCGCGGCCGCCACCGCCCCCGGGCUCUGCCCCGGCCCGCCCCGCCUCCCGCUCCCCGCCAUCACGUACCUGCGCUCCCGCACCCCGCGCUCUGCGCGGUCCCGCCGUCUCCAGCCGCUCCGAGAAGUCAGCCGGCGUCACCCAGGAGCGCCCGUCCCGAUGGAUUCGUACGAACGGAACUCGAUGUCUUGCUGUGCAGGCUGGAAAGAAGCGAUAGAGGCCAAUUAAAAAAGAAAAAAAAAAAACACAACGCGAGUGUUGCAUUGAAGUUCCUCUGCAACAGUUCGUAUAUUUCUAUCCUCUCCCUUCCCCCAAAGUCCGAGAGCAGAGCAAAGUGAACGCUCACAACACCGAGGGACAGAGGCUGCUCCCGGCUCUGUCUCUUCAGGACGUGUCCUCUCUAUCCACCCUCCUCCUUCAACACUUUCCAGCACCGCUUUAUCCACUGACAGCUGUGUGUUUGGGGAUGAGGACUAUCUCUCACAUAGCACAAAGGGAUUACUGCAAUACAAGUCCCACCAUUGCAGAGAAUUCUUGUUGUUUUCCAAUCAGCUUUUAGUUAAUGUACUACACGCACCUGUUAUUUUUUCUUUUGCCCUUUUAAAACUGAUAUUUUAUAUAAAACUCCCGAACUCCAGAGGAACUGGCAGCGCUUCACAAACCACAACCUGAGUCUUUCCAAGCGGUGAGAACUCCAAUCUCAAUCCAGAAGAACAGUCGAGCACAGGCCCAGCUCCAAGCACCUGCAUCUAUGGGCUUGACAGCUCCUGUCCUUCCCCAGAGAGACACAAAGAGCAUGCUUCGCUACAACAGAGGCCAGGAAAGAGCUAAAAGCUCUGCAUGAAAGAGGCCAGGAAAACCAAGGAGAGUAGAAAGAUACGGUUUUAUUAUCAUUUGAAAGAGUCCUAUUGUAAAGUGAGCGCGACUCAGCUUUCCUAGAAGGGCUGAACUGCAUUGGCUCUGACUGUGGAGCCUACAAAGUGAGAACGGAGCAAAUAUGAGAGCUGCCUGCCGAGCUACCAUCACAAAGAAGACUUAAGCAUAAUGGCAAAUAAGCUAUAAACAGCAGAAGAUUACAAGUCUGCCUAUCGGAAAGGGAGGACCUGGAAGAGCCUUUCUGUGGGAACACUGGAGACAAAACCAAACCAACCGGACCUUGCUAUGUGUUACAUGAUGUGAUGCACGAAACAGCAGAGGAAUGAAUCUGGUGACUCAGCCCUAUUU
rnacentral:lncRNA from 1 species